rnacentral:rRNA from 1 species
CAGAGGGUGCAAGCGUUGUUCGGAAUUACUGGGCGUAAAGCGCGCGCAGGCGGAUCCUGCAAGUCAGAAGUGAAAUCUCACUGCUCAACGGUGAGGCUGCUUUUGAUACUGCGGAUCUGGAGACCGGUAGAGGCUGGUAGAAUUGCAGGUGUAGCGGUGGAAUGCGUAGAGAUCUGCAAGAAUACCCGUGGCGAAGGCGGCCAGCUGGGCCGGUUCUGACGCUGAGGCGCGAAAGCGUGGGGAGCAAACAGGAUUAGAUACCCUGGUAGUCCACGCCGUAAACGAUGGGCACUAGGUGCUGGGGGGAGCGACCCCGUCAGUGCCGCAGCUAACGCGAUAAGUGCCCCGCCUGGGGAGUACGGCCGCAAGGCUG